AGUGAAAUUGCUGGAUCAUAUGGGAACUGUUUAACUCUUUGUGAAACUUCUAGACUAUUUCCCAAAGUGGCUGUGCCAUUUGACAUUCCCUUCAGCACCAU
rnacentral:pre_miRNA from 1 species